GAGACAGAGAGUGAAGCCGUUUGCAGCAGGAAAGGCCUGGGCCCGAUACGAAAUAAAAGUAAUCCAGGGCCCACCUUGCUCGGAGAAUGUGAUCAGGUCACAGAAGCUGAGACCGCUGUGUCAGGCUUGAGGCACUGGAGCUCCACCUGUGGCUUACAUCCUCAGGAUCACGAAAGAAAAGCUCCACCCUCAGCUUAUGUGGAGGAACUUCUCUUUUCUAAAUGAACAUUUUGUCGAGAUACACCAUACCUACAGAAAAGCGCACAAAUCAGUAAGUGUACGUAGUCUGAAGAACUCUAACAGAGGGAAGAAACCAUGUAACCAGAAGCGAAACACCCAAAACCAGAACAGGACCAUCACCUCUGCAGACCCUAUUAAGGUAAUAGAUGCUCACCGUGGAUAACUUGGAAGGUAUAAUGAAGAAAACAAAAAUCACCCAUAAUUCUACCACCCAGAGCCACUAACAUUUCAUUGCAUUUUUUUAUAUUUUUUCUGUGCAUUUAAACUUAGUUGCCCAACCUGUUGUACAUUUGGUUUUAUACACAGUGUUUGUCACCAGAUCUUACAGCGUAAGCACAGACCAUCAUUUAUAAACAUAAUUUAAAAAUCCAGGAUAAUAGUUUAUCAAGUUCCUGUAACCCAGUGUACCUAACAGUUGCCCCGUUGUUGGAUAUUCUGUUUCCUCCAGUUUCGUGCUGUAAUAAAGCUUCCGUGUACAUGUGCA